UGGAGUGCUACAACCUCUGACUUGGGGAUUCUAUACUGCCAUAUGUGAGCAAAAGUUAAUGCGCUGGGACAAAGAAGUCAAAGGAACAUGGGAGGGCAGAUCCAGGCCAGACCACCUUCCCAUACAAAGGAAGGGCAGCCCAUCAGCCCGCCAUCAUUGAUGACAUCACCAUCACUCAUAGCGGCAGCACAGUGAAGUCUAUCUUGGACCCUUUAGAUCAUUAAUUGUUAUGAAAAGCUGUGAUGUUUGUAAUCUAGCAUCCAUUUUACAGACGGGGAGACAAAAUCCCAGAGAUGUUAAAAAAAAUCUCAGCCAAGGUCACAAAAGAUUUUAACCCAGUGGUCAAAUACUUUCUGCCUUUCUGCUCAACCAGGCUGCUUCUUUUGAGACAACACACACACACACACACACACACACACAUGCAUGCAGUCAAACACACAAUUCCCUGCACAAGAACACACUCACAGAGAGGAAUGCCUCUGAGCAUCUGCCUCAUUUUUCCUCUGCCCUCCUCGUGUCCUCCGGUCUGUUUGUUGCGCUAUCUCUGUGUCAAACUACCACAGGCUGCCUAGUUCUAACUCUCCUCCAAGUUUUCCAAAGAAGCCCCACCCACCAGCCUAAGCUUUACAAUUUCCAGGGAGAUACGCUGGAGAUGCCACCAGCUCCAGCCUCAAAGGAGUCUUUCACCCCAUUUGAUUUGCAGGGGAUGUCAAGCAGAAACUUCAAAAUGCACAAAGGGCUAGAAGACUCUGGUAUUUUCUAAACACAGAUGAAUCCAUGAAGACCACCUAAGGAGGAGGAUGAGUGGAGAAGCCAUGUUCAAGGCCCCAGUGUCAAGAUUCUCUAUCACUCGAUUUGUGGACACCCCACACAGCUCAAGUCCCCAAGAAGUACCAAGGCCCAGAGCCUCCCUGCAGGCUCUCUUGGGUCACUGGGAAGCAAGUAGGGGAUGAUUCUUCACCUUGAGAAGGCCUCAAACAGCUUCCCAACUGUGCGGCCUGUGGCUGGACUCAGCCUCGAGAGCAGUCCACUUGACAUGUUUCCAGGUCCCCAAGCAACAAGAUGACUGAACAGAGCUGCUCAGCUCCUGGGAGCUCUCCAGGGGCCUCCUGAAGGCAGCAUCCAGGUGUGAGCUCUAGAUACAGGUCAUCGGGUUUGAACUGGGAGUAGCCUGGAGAGGUGGCCCAGGGCCAAGGUCCCAGGUCUCUGGCCUUCAUUUCUCCUUGCUCCUUCUCAGACAUGAUCGUUGCCCUUCAACAAGAGAGUCGAGUCUACUCACAGAGACAAAGCUAAGUUCAAAUAUCAGCGCCACGCUCUCUAACUGUGUGACCUUGGGCAAGUUGAUUUAUUAGAAGGGCUUCAUGCGUCUCUGUUUUGUUCACUGUUCUAUUCCUAGAGCCAAAAACAUAGUGGCAGAGGGUGGAAUCUAAAAGGCGC
rnacentral:lncRNA from 1 species